AAAGGUAGCAUAAUUAAUUGCCUUUUAAUUGGAGGCUUGUUUGAAUGGUUUGACGUGAUUGGUAUGAAUAUUUGGUAUUUAGUUGAAAUUGAUUUUGAGGGUUUAGAAUCCUUAAUGUUUAAUAAGACGGAAAGACCCUAGGAUCUUUUGUUUUUGUUUGGGGCAAAUAUUGUUGUUUUAUGAAUAUUGUGACCCUGAGAUGAUAUUGGUUUAUUGGGUUAAGUUACCCUAGGGAUAACAGUGUGAUGAUUAAUUAGAGGUCUUAUCGAAUUAAUUGUUUGCCACCUCGAUGUUGACUUAGGCUAAGGUUUUGGUGUAGUAAUUGAUAUUUUAGGUCUGUUCGACCUUUGAGCCUCCAUGAGUUGAGUUAAGACCGGCGUGAGC
rnacentral:rRNA from 1 species